rnacentral:rRNA from 1 species
CCAGAGAACUUUCCAGAGAUGGAUUGGUGCCUUCGGGAACUCUGAGACAGGUGCUGCAUGGCUGUCGUCAGCUCGUGUUGUGAAAUGUUGGUUAAGUCCCGCAACGAGCGCAACCCUUAUCCUUUGUUGCCAGCGGUUAGGCCGGGAACUCAAAGGAGACUGCCAGUGAUAAACUGGAGGAAGGUGGGGAUGACGUCAAGUCAUCAUGGCCCUUACGAGUAGGGCUACACACGUGCUACAAUGGCGCAUACAAAGAGAAGCGACCUCGCGAGAGCAAGCGGACCUCAUAAAGUGCGUCGUAGUCCGGAUUGGAGUCUGCAACUCGACUCCAUGAAGUCGGAAUCGCUAGUAAUCGUGGAUCAGAAUGCCACGGUGAAUACGUUCCCGGGCCUUGUACACACCGCCCGUCACACCAUGGGAGUGGGUUGCAAAAGAAGUAGGUAGCUUAACCUUCGGGAGGGCGCUUACCACUUUGUGAUUCAUGACUGGGGUGAAGUCGUAACAAGGUAGGCGUAGUGCU